UGAAUAGCAGAAUUCAGUGAAUCAUCGAAUCUUUGAACGCACCUUGNCACCCUUUGGCAUUCCGAAGGGUAUGCUCGUUUGAGUGUCAUUGUACUCUCACACUUCCGAUCUUUGGAUUGGGAGCGGUGGACUUGGGUUUGCUGCUUGACGGUGGCUUACCUCAAAUGCGUUAGUGCAACUCUUGGUUGGACAUAGUACGGCGUGAUAAGUGUUCUUCGCCGGUGCCUCGCUUGCGAGGGUGGCCGAUCAGGAUGUUGUGCUCCAAACCGUCUGAAGCUUCGGACAAUAUAU
rnacentral:misc_RNA from 1 species